CAAAAUGAGAGUUUGAUCCUGGCUCAGGACGAACGCUGGCGGCGUGCCUAAUACAUGCAAGUCGAGCGAGCAGAACCAGCAGAUUUACUUCGGUAAUGACGCUGGGGACGCGAGCGGCGGAUGGGUGAGUAACACGUGGGGAACCUGCCCCAUAGUCUGGGAUACCACUUGGAAACAGGUGCUAAUACCGGAUAAGAAAGCAGAUCGCAUGAUCAGCUUAUAAAAGGCGGCGUAAGCUGUCGCUAUGGGAUGGCCCCGCGGUGCAUUAGCUAGUUGGUAAGGUAACGGCUUACCAAGGCAAUGAUGCAUAGCCGAGUUGAGAGACUGAUCGGCCACAUUGGGACUGAGACACGGCCCAAACUCCUACGGGAGGCAGCAGUAGGGAAUCUUCCACAAUGGACGCAAGUCUGAUGGAGCAACGCCGCGUGAGUGAAGAAGGUUUUCGGAUCGUAAAGCUCUGUUGUUGGUGAAGAAGGAUAGAGGCAGUAACUGGUCUUUAUUUGACGGUAAUCAACCAGAAAGUCACGGCUAACUACGUGCCAGCAGCCGCGGUAAUACGUAGGUGGCAAGCGUUGUCCGGAUUUAUUGGGCGUAAAGCGAGCGCAGGCGGAAUGAUAAGUCUGAUGUGAAAGCCCUCGGCUUAACCGAGGAACUGCAUCGGAAACUGUUUUUCUUGAGUGCAGAAGAGGAGAGUGGAACUCCAUGUGUAGCGGUGGAAUGCGUAGAUAUAUGGAAGAACACCAGUGGCGAAGGCGACUCUCUGGUCUGCAACUGACGCUGAGGCUCGAAAGCAUGGGUAGCGAACAGGAUUAGAUACCCUGGUAGUCCAUGCCGUAAACGAUGAGUGCUAAGUGUUGGGAGGUUUCCGCCUCUCAGUGCUGCAGCUAACGCAUUAAGCACUCCGC
rnacentral:rRNA from 1 species